UUGUCUUGACAUCCUGCGAACUUGGUAGAGAUACCUUGGUGCCUUCGGGAGCGCAGUGACAGGUGCUGCAUGGCCGUCGUCAGCUCGUGUCGUGAGAUGUUGGGUUAAGUCCCGUAACGAGCGCAACCCUUGUCCUUAGUUGCCAGCGGUCCGGCCGGGAACUCUAGGGAGACUGCCGGUGACAAACCGGAGGAAGGUGGGGAUGACGUCAGGUCAUCAUGGCCCUUACGGCCAGGGCUACACACGUGCUACAAUGGGGCGCACAGAGGGCAGCAAGCGCGCGAGUGCAAGCGAAUCCCUUAAAACGCCUCGUAGUCCGGAUCGGAGUCUGCAACUCGACUCCGUGAAGUCGGAAUCGCUAGUAAUCGCAGAUCAGAAUGCUGCGGUGAAUACGUUCCCGGGUCUUGUAACACACCGAA
rnacentral:rRNA from 1 species